rnacentral:rRNA from 1 species
UACGUAGGAGGCGAGCGUUGUCCGGAUUUAUUGGGCGUAAAGAGCGCGUAGGCGGCACAUCAAGUACGCAGUGAAAUCUCCCUGCUCAACGGGGAGGGUGCAGCGUAAGCUGGUGAGCUCGAGGACGGUAGAGGGGGGUAGAAUUGCUGGUGUAGCGGUGAAAUGCGUAGAGAUCAGCAGGAAUACCCGUGGCGAAGGCGGCCCCCUGGGCCGAACCUGACGCUGAGGCGCGAAGGCUAGGGGAGCGAACGGG